UUUAAGUGAAGAGUUUGAUCCUGGCUCAGAGUGAACGCUGGCGGCAGGCCUAACACAUGCAAGUCGAACGGCAGCGCAGGGGAGCUUGCUCCCCGGGCGGCGAGUGGCGGACGGGUGAGGAAUACGUCGGAAUCUGCCUUUUUGUGGGGGAUAACGUAGGGAAACUUACGCUAAUACCGCAUACGACCUACGGGUGAAAGUGGGGGACCGCAAGGCCUCACGCAGAAAGAUGAGCCGACGUCGGAUUAGCUAGUUGGUGGGGUAAUGGCCCACCAAGGCGACGAUCCGUAGCUGGUCUGAGAGGAUGAUCAGCCACACUGGAACUGAGACACG
rnacentral:rRNA from 1 species